GUUAUUGGCUACCAAGAAGAACUAGGAUAUAUUUAUCUUACAUUGAAUAUACGUAUGAACGAUUUCCUGUAAUGGCUUUGAUCCCUGAAAUAUCAAGUAUUAUUCUAGUUCAAUAUGAUAUUGCACCUUUGUCGUAGAGAAAUAAAUCAAUGGAGAUGAUAAAAUAAAAUGUUAUACGAUGUCCGUUCUGAAGAAAUUUGAUUAUCAUAAUUUUAAUGAAAAUAAUAUAAUAUACUUGAUGAAAAAUAGCUACAAGUCAUUCAGUCAAGCCGUUUUCCCAUCAUUGUGCAAUAUUCGAUCUUUACGUCUGGAAAUAAAGGUUUUCCAUUCUCGUCA